CUUUUAAGUGCUUAGCACUUAACUGCGCCUUUGGACACGAGAAAAGCUCGCAAUUCUUAAGUAAAGAAUUUUGUAGGUCCCUGCUCUGCACAGAAAACACACCUGUGCAGAAAACAGCACGACUACAAAAGAUUUAUGUAUGAGCUAGAACUCGAUGCAAAUAAGAGGCCAAAUUUAGAUACCAAACCAAUAUUGCACGAAGAAAAUUAUUAUAUAGGGAUUUUGAAGAGUUAACGUGGUGUGUCAAUAAAGAAGUGAUUUUAUAGCGCACCAAUUUAAAAAUGCGGAAGUGUACGCUCGUUACUUUCAUUCAUACUACAGUCAGUCUCACCACCUCUCUGCCUGAAAUGGGCGUCAAUAUUUUGUGACUUUAAACUAUUCUGCCUUUGUUUUUCGGUGACCCACAUUUCACUGGUCCAAUGUUGCCUGUUUAGCUCAAAUCCCAAGAUCCAGUUACGUGAAGCCUUACCCACCCACUACUUUUAAGUUCGUGCAUAGCUACAAAGUGACGACUCUCGUCCCCGAUACGCGAUUUUCCGCCCAUUCUCACGCACCACAGCCAGCAUGGAGGCCUGGAGGUGCCCCGGCCUCCGGAGCCUUCCUGAAACGCCACAACCAGGAGCCCCAGCAGCGGGCACAUCCAAACCCGGCAGGAGCUGAAGCCCAUACUCUGUCCUACACAAAGUACUUCUGA
rnacentral:lncRNA from 1 species